GUUGUAUGGUUAAGUGACUAAGCGUACACGGUGGAUGCCUUGGCAGUCAGAGGCGAUGAAAGACGUAGUAACUUGCGAUAAGCCCAGAUUAGGUAGUAACAACCAUUUGAGUCUGGGAUUUCUGAAUGGGGAAACCCACUUACAUAAGUAAGUAUCGUUAUGUGAAUACAUAGCAUAACGAGGCGAACCGGGGGAACUGAAACAUCUAAGUACCCCGAGGAAAAGAAAUCAACCGAGAUUCCGAAAGUAGCGGCGAGCGAAAUUGGACUAGCCCUUAAGCUUUACACGCGUUAGACGAACGGUCUGGAAAGUCCGACGAUACAGGGUGAUAGUCCCGUAGUUGACGACGUGUGUUCAGUGAAAUCGAGUAGGGCGGGACACGUGAUAUCCUGUCUGAAUAUGGGGGGACCAUCCUCCAAGGCUAAAUACUACUGACUGACCGAUAGUGAACCAGUACCGUGAGGGAAAGGCGAAAAGAACCCCUGUGAGGGGAGUGAAAUAGAACCUGAAACCGUGUACGUACAAGCAGUAGGAGCAGGCUUUGUCCUGUGACUGCGUACCUUUUGUAUAAUGGGUCAGCGACUUAUAUUCAGUGGCAAGGUUAACCAUCUAGGGGAGCCGUAGGGAAACCGAGUCUUAACUGGGCGUUCAGUCUCUGGAUAUAGACCCGAAACCAGGUGAUCUAGCCAUGGGCAGGUUGAAGGUUGAGUAACAUCAACUGGAGGACCGAACCGACUAAUGUUGAAAAAUUAGCGGAUGACUUGUGGCUAGGGGUGAAAGGCCAAUCAAACCUGGAGAUAGCUGGUUCUCCCCGAAAGCUAUUUAGGUAGCGCCUCGGACGAAUACUACUGGGGGUAGAGCACUGUUAAGGCUAGGGGGUCAUCCCGACUUACCAACCCUUUGCAAACUCCGAAUACCAGUAAGUACUAUCCGGGAGACACACGGCGGGUGCUAACGUCCGUCGUGGAGAGGGAAACAACCCAGACCGCCAGCUAAGGUCCCAAAUUACUACUAAGUGGGAAACGAUGUGGGAAGGCUCAGACAGCCAGGAUGUUGGCUUAGAAGCAGCCAUCAUUUAAAGAAAGCGUAAUAGCUCACUGGUCGAGUCGGCCUGCGCGGAAGAUGUAACGGGGCUAAGUAGUAAACCGAAGCUGCGGCAAUGUGCUUUUGCACAUUGGGUAGGGGAGCGUUCUGUAAGCGGUUGAAGGUGUGUGGUAACGCAUGCUGGACGUAUCAGAAGUGCGAAUGCUGACAUGAGUAACGAUAAAGGGGGUGAAAAACCUCCUCGCCGGAAGACCAAGGGUUCCUGUCCAACGUUAAUCGGGGCAGGGUAAGUCGACCCCUAAGGCGAGGCCGAAAGGCGUAGUCGAUGGGAAACGGGUUAAUAUUCCCGUACUUCUUACAAUUGCGAUGGGGGGACGGAGAAGGCUAGGUGGGCCUGGCGACGGUUGUCCAGGUUCAAGUGCGUAGGCUU
rnacentral:rRNA from 1 species